AGUGAACGCUGGCGGUAGGCCUAACACAUGCAAGUCGAACGGCAGCACAGUAAGAGCUUGCUCUUACGGGUGGCGAGUGGCGGACGGGUGAGGAAUACAUCGGAAUCUACUUUUUCGUGGGGGAUAACGUAGGGAAACUUACGCUAAUACCGCAUACGACCUACGGGUGAAAGCAGGGGAUCUUCGGACCUUUCGCGAUUGAAUGAGCCGAUGUCGGAUUAGCUAGUUGGCGGGGUAAAGGCCCACCAAGGCGACGAUCCGUAGCUGGUCUGAGAGGAUGAUCAGCCACACUGGAACUGAGACACGGUCCAGAUUCCUACGGGAGGCAGCAGUGGGGAAUAUUGGACAAUGGGCGCAAGCCUGAUCCAGCCAUACCGCGUGGGUGAAGAAGGCCUUCGGGUUGUAAAGCCCUUUUGUUGGGAAAGAAAAGCAGCAGGUUAAUACCCCGCUGUUCUGACGGUACCCAAAGAAUAAGCACCGGCUAACUUCGUG
rnacentral:rRNA from 1 species